rnacentral:rRNA from 1 species
CCUACGGGGGGCAGCAGUGGGGAAUAUUGCGCAAUGGGCGAAAGCCUGACGCAGCGACGCCGCGUGAGGGAUGAAGGUCUUCGGAUCGUAAACCUCUGUCAGCAGGGAAGAACGGUCACUGUGCUAAUCAGCAGUGAAUUGACGGUACCUGCAAAGGAAGCACCGGCUAACUCCGUGCCAGCAGCCGCGGUAAUACGGAGGGUGCGAGCGUUAAUCGGAAUUACUGGGCGGAAAGCGCUCGUAGGCGGGAUGUCAAGUCAGGGGUGAAAGCCCCGGGCUCAACGUGGGAACUGCCUUUGAAACUGGCAAACUGGAGUGUGUGAGAGGAUAGUGGAAUUCCAGGUGUAGGAGUGAAAUCCGUAGAUAUCUGGAGGAACAUCAGUGGCGAAGGCGACUAUCUGGCACAUAACUGACGCUGAGGAGCGAAAGCGUGGGUAGCAAACAGGAUUAGAUACCCCAGUAGUC